CCUACGGGGGGCUGCAGUGAGGAAUAUUGGUCAAUGGACGAGAGUCUGAACCAGCCAAGUAGCGUGAAGGAUGACUGCCCUAUGGGUUGUAAACUUCUUUUAUAUGGGAAUAAAAUGUUCCACGUGUGGGAUUUUGUAUGUACCAUAUGAAUAAGGAUCGGCUAACUCCGUGCCAGCAGCCGCGGUAAUACGGAGGAUCCGAGCGUUAUCCGGAUUUAUUGGGUUUAAAGGGAGCGUAGGUGGAUUGUUAAGUCAGUUGUGAAAGUUUGCGGCUCAACCGUAAAAUUGCAGUUGAAACUGGCAGUCUUGAGUACAGUAGAGGUGGGCGGAAUUCGUGGUGUAGCGGUGAAAUGCUUAGAUAUCACGAGGAACUCCGAUUGCGAAGGCAGUUCACUGGACUGCAACUGACACUGAGGCUCGAAAGUGUGGGUAUCAAACAGGAUUAGAUACCCUUGUAGUC
rnacentral:rRNA from 1 species